GGCUUGAAUGGUUGAAUGGGUCAGAAACUCAUUAACAUAUUUUCUGUUUCACAUGCACACCUGUGCAUUUGUAUUCUCCGAGGUCAUUUGUGUAAGGUUAACGCAUCAGUGCUUCAUGAGUUCAAAUUCCCCGGCUGCAGAGAAUUUCAACUUAUUUUUACAACACGUUCAUCAGAAACCUGCACCAAGAUGAUUGUAGCAAUAACUCUGACUGUGUUGUUGGGAUUUCUGAGUCAGGAGUCGACUGCCAACAACUUCCUGACUCACACUGACAAACAUUUAUCUGUCAGUCUUGGAGGGACAGUCACCAUCAGAGCCACAGGGAGUUCAAAUAUUGGUGCUGAUCUCAGUUGGUAUCUUCAGAAACCUGGACAGGCUCCCAAACUUCUGAUAUAUGACGCUACAACACUGCACUCAGGAACUCCGUCCAGAUUCAGUGGCAGCUACUCUGGUUCUGACUAUAGUCUAAGGGUCAGUGGUGUUCAGGCUGAAGAUCUUGGAGAUUACUACUGUCUUGGUUAUCAUAGCGAUUAUACAUUCACACAGUGAUUCAGAGUCGUACAA